AGAUCCUUGAAAGAACAACAGACAUGACUAAUCAACAAGGAUCUAGUAGAGCUCAUGACUCUAUGGAUCAGAAUCAGAUGUAUCAGAGAUGGGGUGGGGAGAUGAUAGAUCACGACCAAGAGCUUGUCCUCUACCCCGUCUGCCUCUGCCACGAGUGGAGGUGCUGGCACGAGUAAGUGGGCGAGAUGAUCCUGAAGGCUGAGAGGCCAUAGACUGGACUGCAAGAGAGAGCCUGAUG
rnacentral:lncRNA from 1 species